UGCGCCUACGGGGGGCAGCAGUGAGGAAUAUUGGUCAAUGGCCGCAGGGCUGAACCAGCCAAGUCGCGUGAGGGAUGACGGUCCUAUGGAUUGUAAACCUCUUUUGUCAGGGAGCAAAGGGCGCCACGUGUGGCGCUUUGCGAGUACCUGAAGAAAAAGCAUCGGCUAACUCCGUGCCAGCAGCCGCGGUAAUACGUAGGUGGCAAGCGUUGUCCGGAUUUACUGGGUGUAAAGGGCGUGCAGCCGGGCUGACAAGUCAGAUGUGAAAUCCCGCGGCUCAACCGCGGAACUGCAUUUGAAACUGU
rnacentral:rRNA from 1 species